rnacentral:tRNA from 1 species
ACUGGGUUGGCCGAGUGGUUAAGGCGUUGGACUUAAGUUCCAAUGGACAAGUGGUAUGCGUGGGUUCGAACCCCACACCCAGUA